rnacentral:snRNA from 1 species
UUGCUUAGGCAGCACAUACAGUAAAACUGGAACAAUACAUGGAAGAUUAGAGUGUCCCCUGCACAAGGAUGACAUGCAAAUUUGUGAAGCAUUCCAUAUUUUC